rnacentral:rRNA from 1 species
AUACGUAGGUGGCAAGCGUUAUCCGGAUUUAUUGGGUUUAAAGGGAGCGUAGGUGGAUUGUUAAGUCAGUUGUGAAAGUUUGCGGCUCAACCGUAAAAUUGCAGUUGAAACUGGCAGUCUUGAGUACAGUAGAGGUGGGCGGAAUUCGUGGUGUAGCGGUGAAAUGCUUAGAUAUCACGAAGAACUCCGAUUGCGAAGGCAGCUCACUAGACUGUUACUGACACUGAUGCUCGAAAGUGUGGGUAUCAAACAGGAUUAGAUACCCUGGUAGUCCACACAGUAAACGAUGAAUACUCGCUGUUUGCGAUAUACAGUAAGCGGCCAAGCGAAAGCAUUAAGUAUUCCACCUGGGGAGUACGCCGGCAACGGUGAAACUCAAAGGAAUUGGCGGG